GUUAAAUCCUCAGAAAUGUGUAAAUGCAUAUUCAUGGAUAAUUUCAGAAAUUUUUUUAAACAAAUUAAAGUAAUGAAGAAGGAAAUCAGGCCCUGCAACUAAUCUUAUAUACCUAACUAAUUACUUCUACCAAAUAACCACAAACAUGAUCUUCAAUGAUUAAACAUCUCUUCAACGCUUAAACAUCUUGCCCCUUUAACAAUGGGGAGUAGGGUUUAAGGAUUUACAUGAAAUCUAUGAACUAAUCCCAUACAAUUGUUAUCCAGAAUAGUUAUCCAAGAAUGCUCAAAAAACUGUACUGGCCAAGUCAAGCAAAGCAAGAAAAAGCAUAAUCAUGAAAUUCAU
rnacentral:misc_RNA from 1 species